GACGAACGCCGGCGGCGUGCUUAACACAUGCAAGUCGAACGGAAAGGCCCUGCUUGCAGGGUGCUCGAGUGGCGAACGGGUGAGUAACACGUGGGUGAUCUGCCCCUUACUUUGGGAUAAGCCUGGGAAACUGGGUCUAAUACUGGAUAGGACCAUGCUGUAGGUGGUGUGGUGGAAAGAUUAGUUUCGGUAAGGGAUGAGCUCGCGGCCUAUCAGCUUGUUGGUGGGGUAAUGGCCUACCAAGGCGUCGACGGGUAGCCGGCCUGAGAGGGUGGACGGCCACAUUGGGACUGGGAUACGGCCCAGACUCCUACGGGAGGCAGCAGUGGGGAAUAUUGCACAAUGGGCGCAAGCCUGAUGCAGCGACGCCGCGUGGGGGAUGACGGCCUUCGGGUUGUAAACUCCUUUCAGCCAUGACGAAGCCCUUGUGGUGACGGUAGUGGUAGAAGAAGCACCGGCUAACUACGUG
rnacentral:rRNA from 1 species